AUUUACAGGGUCCAGUUGCAAAAAGCCCCGACUUGUAAAGCGGGGUUUUUUGUUAUUUGACGGCAAAAUCACUGGGCUAUAAGGCCCUUUUUUU
rnacentral:sRNA from 1 species